AGUGAACGCUGGCGGUAGGCCUAACACAUGCAAGUCGAACGGCAGCACAGUAAGAGCUUGCUCUUACGGGUGGCGAGUGGCGGACGGGUGAGGAAUACAUCGGAAUCUACUUUUUCGUGGGGGAUAACGUAGGGAAACUUACGCUAAUACCGCAUACGACCUACGGGCGAAAGCAGGGGAUCUUCGGACCUUGCGCGAUUGAAUGAGCCGAUGUUGGAUUAGCUAGUUGGCGGGGUAAAGGCCCACCAAGGCGACGAUCCGUAGCUGGUCUGAGAGGAUGAUCAGCCACACUGGAACUGAGACACGGUCCAGACUCCUACGGGAGGCAGCAGUGGGGAAUAUUGGACAAUGGGCGCAAGCCUGAUCCAGCCAGACCGCGUGGGUGAAGAAGGCCUUCGGGUUGUAAAGCCCUUUUGUUGGGAAAGAAAAGCAGCAGGUUAAUACCCCGCUGUUCUGACGGUACCCAAAGAAUAAGCACCGGCUAACUUCGUG
rnacentral:rRNA from 1 species